GCUAGCUUUGGCAGAGUGUACACUAAUGUGGUAAUGAUACAGAGAAGAUUAGCAUGGCCCCUGUGGAGGGAUGACAUGCAAAUUCGUGAAGUGUUCCUAUUUAAA
rfam:Canis lupus familiaris chromosome 16, whole genome shotgun sequence.